GAGUGGGCUCCCGAUAAGAGGAUGAAUUCAGCCCUCCUUCCUUUUCUUUCAUGUGUUCUCUUGCCCUUCCACCCUCCGCCAUGGGAUGACACACCAAGAAGGCCUUCACCAGAUGUGGGGCCCUUGACCUUGGACUUCCCAGCCUCCAGAACUGGUACUGGAGGGGCUCACAGUAUUAAGGAGAAGACUCCGGCAGCCUCUGAAAGAAAGAAAACUAGGGAAGCUCUGGAAACACCAAUAAAC
rnacentral:antisense_RNA from 1 species